GAUAUCUGCUGGGGGUGUCCGUUAGCCGGACUGAGAGAAGAGCGCGAAUAAGGCUCUUUGACCCUUCGAACCUGAUCUGGUUGAUACCAGCGUAGGGAAGUAGGGAGAGACGGCU
rnacentral:ncRNA from 2 species